UAGUAAAAACACCGUGCGCCGGUGAGCUGAGAUGAGAAAGACGCGUCCCUGCACCGUGUCCGUGUCGCUGACUGACCGUUCUGUUGACCCACACGUACGCCGAGGUGAAAUACAUAAGUUGUUUUUAACUGUUAUAUGAAAAAUACCAAGCCCAAAAUUAGAGAAACAUUUUUGGAUUAGGAAGGAGACCAACAUCAAAUCUCAAAAGAUGGACCCCUUGAAUGUCUUGACUGGCAAUUACACCUUGAAGUCGAAGACACCAUGCGAUCUGUCCUCCUGCACAAAACAGGAAGUUCUUGAGUAUUUUGAGAAUUCCUACAGCUUAAAUGAGAGUCUGUUUACGUCUGUGGCUGCCAAGGAGGCAUUUUACAUGUGUCCUGAUCGUCUGCGACUGCCACUCAUCUUUUACUACGCUCACACCGCCGUGGUCUACUGGAACAAGAUGCUACUGGCAGGCCUCGUACAGGGACGAAUGAACCCGGAGUUUGAGACCAUGUUCGAGACGGGAGUGGACGAACAAUCUUGGGAUGACACGGAGAAUUACCGCAUGGGGGGUGCCUUCAAGUGGCCGCCCUUGGAAGAAGUGGUGGAGUACCGGCGCAAGGUCCGCAACGCCAUACGCAAAGUAAUUGCAGAUACCAAGCUAGAGCUGCCAGUUACCAUGGAGAGUCCGUGGUGGGCCCUGUUUAUGGGUUUUGAGCAUGAGAGAAUCCACCUGGACACAUCCUCAGUUCUGAUCCAGCAGCUACCCAUCCACCUGCUACGCAAACCCCAGGACUGGCGAUCUGGACCAAUCACUUACGGCGAAGGUGCUGGAGAGAACAAGAUGGUGUCCGUGCCGGCGUGUGAAGUCACCGUCGGGAAACCUUUGGACUUCCCCUCCUAUGGAUGGGACAAUGAGUACCCAGAAUGCCAGAAAAUGGUGCCUGCAUUUGAGGCUUCGCAGUACUUGAUCACCAACCAGGAAUUUCUGGCCUUUGUUGAGAGCGGCUGUUAUGAGAAGAAGCAGUACUGGACCAAGGAGGGCUGGCAGUGGAGGAACUUUCGCAAGGUGAUGCACCCGAUAUUCUGGAUCUGUAACAAAGGUUGCCUGUCCAACUGCGGCGGGAUACUGGCCGGAUACAGCCACUGUCAGCAAGGAAUGAAUGGCACAGCCAAUGGCAACAACACCAGUAACGGCAACAACACCAGUAAUGGCAACAACACCAGCAACGGCAACAACACCAGUAAUGGCAACAUGACCAGCAAUGGCAACAACACCAGCAACGGCACCAAUGGCUUCACUAACGGCGAGCAACAUGCAAACAACAACGACGAGAGCCAGUUCAGGCUGCGCACACUCUGUGAAGAGAUCCCUAUGCCAUGGGACUGGCCUGUCGCCGUCAACUACCAUGAAGCCAAGGCCUACUGUAAGUGGAAGGGCCCCGAGUACCGUAUCAUGACGGAGGCUGAACAUGCUGCCAUCAGAGACAAACAGGUACCAGUCAAGUGUGGCACAUCUGCAGACAUCUUGUAUCACGGUGAUCUACAGGAGAAAUACAACACUAACUUGGCCUACACUACCAACACUCCUGUCAACCUGUACCCACCCACCAAGCGUGGUUUCUACGACGUUUUCGGUAACAGUUGGCAGUGGAUGGAGGAUCACUUCAACGGUCUACCAGGCAGCAUGUCGCAUCACCUGUAUGACGACUUCAGUACCCCUACCUUUGACGGAAGACAUAACGUGAUUUUGGGCGGAUGUUGGAUGUCUACAGGUGACGAGUCGUCUCGGUUUGCGCGAUACGCUUUCCGCAGACACUUCUACCAGCACGCGGGCUUUCGCAUCGUCCAGUCUGUGGAUCGCAGUGACACUCUUCCUAUUGCCCUGGUGUGUGGGCUCGAUGGUUCUACUGAAGAUGUCUGCCUGCCCGCGGGGACUAAAAUCGAUCCCCCCAUGCCCUCCACCAACACGCAGUUAGCUCAUGAAUCGGAUGCCGAGCUGAAGGCGCAACUCCUGGCGGAAUACGGAGCAGAGCAGGGCAGUCUGGCCAGCCAGCUGGCACAGGUCAGCCACCAGGCUCUGCAGGCUCAAGGCAGCAAUGCAACCAUGGCUCUGGACCUGCAGUGCGGCUGUGGCAGGCUCAGCUUUGAGUUGUCCAGAUUCAUGAAGGAGGUUCUGGCCAUCGACUACUGCCAGUCCUUCUUGACAGUAGCUGAAACCAUCCAAGACAAGGGCCGUUACCAGGCAGUGAUGCCUGAUGGGAAGACUCUUGCUGUUGAUCUGCCAGAGGGGGUGAACCAAUCCCGGGUCAACUUCAAACAGUUCACCUGGAUUCCCAACGAAAUCAUGAACUUUGACCUUGUGGUGAUGCAGGGCAUCGACCGGGUCAUGAACAAGAGAGGGCCUGGUUGUUGAGACUGUGGGAGAUCAUUGUUCCUAACGGAGUCGUCGUGAUUGUCUCCACCAAAGGCUACGGAGCCGAUGAACUGAAAGCCCAUGUUGAGAACCACUUGGAGCUGACUGAAGCCAAGGAGCUGUCCUAUGCUGGUCCCAAAGGCCAGAUCGCCACAGCAACCGUCACCAUCUGGCACAGGAAGUAAAGUAACAGGUGUAAGUGCGUCAGGAGAGAACAUGAA
rnacentral:misc_RNA from 1 species